UGGAACAGAUCAUAUACUGUGUUUUAUAUUCAGAAAGGGUUAUAUGUGUUGAUUGAUCUUUGUAGAUCAAAUAGAUGACCACCUGCUUAGUUUCUGCUUGCUGAAUGCUCCAGCAAGUUAAUGAAGCUUUCAGUAACUGACAGGCUUCAGACAAGUGAAGCUAUGAUAUAGCAAUACUGUUGUGCAGCUCUUGGCAAAGAGAGGAGAUGGCUCCCUCUGUCUUCUCGGACGGCGGAUCAGCAAUUACACGAUCGGAUGCAUACUCCGAGCGAGAUGUGCUUUUGGUGGAGGUCGAUGUAGCUUCGGAGGGCGUCCGUGAAGGAGAAGGAUCUGAGGGGGCUAGGUGCUGAUGAUACUGAUCUGGGCGAAACGCUGUGAUGGUGGAAGGCCACGGGAGUUGCCGGUGCUGACACUGCCUGAAGAGGGAUACGGCGACCACGAUCCUGCCGCCGGUGGCUGCACCUGCGUCGUGGCAGAGAAGGAUGAGAAUGAGGACGAUGUUGGCCCAGAAUCCGAUAGAUGACAGCCCAUACCGUCGUCUUCCAUCCGAGCCGGUUUGGGCGUCAAUAACGGGGUAACGUCGGCCACUUUUCCGAUGUGGGCCAUGGGCCCUGGAUAAAAUAACAAUACAGGGAGUAUAUCUGGGCCUAUACCUGUUCGGUCGAGCAUCCCGAAGCCAGCUGAUGGCGAAGAUAGCGAGCUUACGUGUGCUCGGGCUCACAUGAGCACUUUCCAAAUGUAUAUGAUGGGGUGAAAAGUGGCACGAAGGCUCUGUGCGUGCCAUAAACAUGGCUACUGAGAUAAGAGCAUCUAUAUUGCUCGACAUUGCACCUCUUGCGGAUGAGGCCUGUGGCCAGUGGCGGCUUCAGUAAUUUGCAACCAGAUAUUCAUGUGUAUUCAUUUUGCAAAAAUCAUUGUUGUUUUUUGAAAAUUA